rnacentral:rRNA from 1 species
AGAGUUUGAUCCUGGCUCAGAUUGAACGCUGGCGGAAUGCUUUACACAUGCAAGUCGAACGGCAGCACGGGAGCUUGCUCCUGGUGGCGAGUGGCGAACGGGUGAGUAACAUAUCGGAACGUACCUAGUAAUGGGGGAUAACUAGUCGAAAGAUUGGCUAAUACCGCAUACGCCCUGAGGGGGAAAGCGGGGGAUCGUAAGACCUCGCGUUAUUAGAGCGGCCGAUAUCUGAUUAGCUAGUUGGUGGGGUAAAAGCCUACCAAGGCGACGAUCAGUAGCUGGUCUGAGAGGACGACCAGCCACACUGGAACUGAGACACGGUCCAGACUCCUACGGGAGGCAGCAGUGGGGAAUUUUGGACAAUGGGCGCAAGCCUGAUCCAGCCAUUCCGCGUGAGUGAAGAAGGCCUUCGGGUUGUAAAGCUCUUUCGUGGGGAAGAAUGACUGAUUUGAAAAUAUUGAGUCAGUAUGACGGUACCCAAGGAGGAAGCCCCGGCUAACUACGUGCCAGCAGCCGCGGUAAUACGUAGGGGGCAAGCGUUGUCCGGAAUUAUUGGGCGUAAAGGGCGCGUAGGCGGAUAUUUAAGUCCGGUGUGAAAGAUCAGGGCUCAACCCUGAGAGUGCAUCGGAAACUGGGUAUCUUGAGGACAGGAGAGGAAAGUGGAAUUCCUAGUGUAGCGGUGAAAUGCGUAGAUAUUAGGAGGAACACCAGUGGCGAAGGCGACUUUCUGGACUGUAACUGACGCUGAGGCGCGAAAGCGUGGGGGAGCAAACAGGAUUAGAUACCCUGGUAGUCCACGCUGUAAACGAUGAGUGCUAGGUGUAGAGGGUAUCGACCCCUUCUGUGCCGCAGUUAACACAAUAAGCACUCCGCCUGGGGAGUACGGCCGCAAGGUUGAAACUCAAAGGAAUUGACGGGGGCCCGCACAAGCGGUGGAGCAUGUGGUUUAAUUCGACGCAACGCGAAGAACCUUACCAGGGCUUGACAUCUACAGAAUCCUUAGGAAACUAGGGAGUGCCCUUCGGGGAGCUGUAAGACAGGUGGUGCAUGGUUGUCGUCAGCUCGUGUCGUGAGAUGUUGGGUUAAGUCCCGCAACGAGCGCAACCCCUGUGUUUAGUUGCUAACGCGUAAUGGCGAGCACUCUAGACAGACUGCCGGUGAUAAACCGGAGGAAGGUGGGGAUGACGUCAAAUCAUCAUGCCCCUUAUGUUCUGGGCUACACACGUGCUACAAUGGCCGGUACAGACGGAAGCGAAGCCGCGAGGUGAAGCAAAUCCGAGAAAGCCGGUCUCAGUUCGGAUUGCAGGCUGCAACUCGCCUGCAUGAAGUCGGAAUCGCUAGUAAUCGCAGGUCAGCAUACUGCGGUGAAUACGUUCCCGGGCCUUGUACACACCGCCCGUCACACCACGAAAGUCUGCAACACCCGAAGCCGGUGAGGUAACCCGUAAGGGAGCUAGCCGUCGAAGGUGGGGCCGAUAAUUGGGGUGAAGUCGUAACAAGGUAACC